rnacentral:rRNA from 1 species
UACAGAGGCCCCAAGCAUUAUCCGGAAUCACUGGGCGUAAAGGGUGUGUAGGCGGCUAUGUUAGUCCUUCGUAAAAGCCCGCGGGCUCAACCCGUGGAAUGCGGUGGAAGCGGCAUAGCUUUGAGGACGCGAGAGGUAGAGGGAACUCAUGGUGUAGGGGUGAAAUCCGUUGAUAUCAUGGGGAACACCAAAUGCGAAGGCACUCUACUGGCGCGCUCCUGACGCUGAGACACGAAAGCGUGGGGAGCAAACAGG